rnacentral:rRNA from 1 species
AGUGAACGCUGGCGGUAGGCCUAACACAUGCAAGUCGAACGGCAGCACAGUAAGAGCUUGCUCUUACGGGUGGCGAGUGGCGGACGGGUGAGGAAUAAAUCGGAAUCUACUUUUUCGUGGGGGAUAACGUAGGGAAACUUACGCUAAUACCGCAUACGACCUACGGGUGAAAGCAGGGGAUCUUCGGACCUUGCGCGAUUGAAUGAGCCGAUGUCGGAUUAGCUAGUUGGCUGGGUAAAGGCCCACCAAGGCGACGAUCCGUAGCUGGUCUGAGAGGAUGAUCAGCCACACUGGAACUGAGACACGGUCCAGACUCCUACGGGAGGCAGCAGUGGGGAAUAUUGGACAAUGGGCGCAAGCCUGAUCCAGCCAUACCGCGUGGGUGAAGAAGGCCUUCGGGUUGUAAAGCCCUUUUGUUGGGAAAGAAAAGCAGCAGGUUAAUACCCCGCUGUUCUGACGGUACCCAAAGAAUAAGCACCGGCUAACUUCGUG